rnacentral:rRNA from 1 species
CCUACGGGUGGCAGCAGUGAGGAAUAUUGGUCAAUGGGCUUACGCCUGAACCAGCCAAGUCGCGUGAGGGAAGACUGCCCUAUGGGUUGUAAACCUCUUUUGUCAGGGAGCAACGCCGGCUACGUGUAGCCGGAAUGAGAGUACCUGAAGAAAAAGCAUCGGCCAACUCCGUGGCAGCAGCCGCGGUAAUACGGAGGAUGCGAGCGUUAUCCGGAUUUAUUGGGUUUAAAGGGUGCGUAGGCGGAAUGCCAAGUCAGCGGUAAAAUCGCGGGGCUCAACCUCGCUCCGCCGUUGAAACUGGCAGUCUUGAGUACAGUAGAGGUGGGCGGAAUUCGUGGUGUAGCGGUGAAAUGCUUAGAUAUCACGAAGAACUCCGAUUGCGAAGGCAGCUCACUGGACUGCAACUGACACUGAGGCUCGAAAGUGUGGGUAUCAAACAGGAUUAGAUACCCCUGUAGUC